rnacentral:rRNA from 1 species
AAAUUGAAGAGUUUGAUCAUGGCUCAGAUUGAACGCUGGCGGCAGGCCUAACACAUGCAAGUCGAACGGUAACAGGAAGCAGCUUGCUGCUUUGCUGACGAGUGGCGGACGGGUGAGUAAUGUCUGGGAAACUGCCUGAUGGAGGGGGAUAACUACUGGAAACGGUAGCUAAUACCGCAUAACGUCGCAAGACCAAAGAGGGGGACCUUCGGGCCUCUUGCCAUCGGAUGUGCCCAGAUGGGAUUAGCUAGUAGGUGGGGUACCGGCUCACCUCGCCGACGAUCCCUAGCUGGUCUGAGAGGAUGCCCAGCCACAUUGGAACUGAGAC